rnacentral:rRNA from 1 species
UACAGGGGGGGCAAGCGUUGUUCGGAAUUACUGGGCGUAAAGGGUUCGUAGGUGGCCAACUAAGUCAGACGUGAAAUCCCUCAGCUUAACUGGGGAACUGCGUCUGAUACUGGAUGGCUUGAGUGCAGGAGAGGAAUGCGGAAUUCCAGGUGUAGCGGUGAAAUGCGUAGAUAUCUGGAGGAACACCGGUGGCGAAGGCGGCAUUCUGGACUGUAACUGACACUGAAGAAUGAAAGCCAGGGGAGCAAACGGG